GAUGAACGCUGGCGGCGUGCCUAAUACAUGCAAGUCGAGCGAACGGACGAGAAGCUUGCUUCUCUGAUGUUAGCGGCGGACGGGUGAGUAACACGUGGAUAACCUACCUAUAAGACUGGGAUAACUUCGGGAAACCGGAGCUAAUACCGGAUGAUAUUUUGAACCGCAUGGUUCAAAAGUGAAAGACGGUCUUGCUGUCACUUGUAGAUGGAUCCGCGCUGCAUUAGCUAGUUGGUAAGGUAACGGCUUACCAAGGCAACGAUGCAUAGCCGACCUGAGAGGGUGAUCGGCCACACUGGAACUGAGACACGGUCCAGACUCCUACGGGAGGCAGCAGUAGGGAAUCUUCCGCAAUGGGCGAAAGCCUGACGGAGCAACGCCGCGUGAGUGAUGAAGGUCUUCGGAUCGUAAAACUCUGUUAUUAGGGGAGAACAUAUGUGUAAGUAACUGUGCACAUCUUGACGGUACCUAAUCAGAAAGCCACGGCUAACUACGUG
rnacentral:rRNA from 1 species